UGAAUACGAGAUGCUACGGCGUCGAAGCAGUCUAUGUCAUACUUCCAAGAAAAGCUUGCACUGUCAUAAACAAAUAAUGCCUGUACCAUAACCGACACAGGUGGGUAGGUAGAGUAUACUAAGGGGCGCGAGAUAACUCUCUCUAAGGAACUCGGCAAAAUGACUCCGUAACUUCGGGAGAAGGAGUGCCUUAUUUAUAAGGUUGCAAUAACAAGAUCCAAGCAACUGUUUACCAAAAACACAGGUCUCCGCUAAGUCGUAAGACGAUGUAUGGGGGCUGACGCCUGCCCAGUGCCAGAAGGUUAAAGAAGUUGGUUAGCAUCCGCGAAGCUGAUAACUGAAGCCCUGGUGAACGGCGGCCGUAACGAUAACGGUCCUAAGGUAGCGAAAUUCCUUGUCGGGUAAGUUCCGACCCGCACGAAAGGCGUAAUGAUUUGGAUACUGUCUCGGAGAGGGGCUCGGUGAAAUAGACUUGUCUGUGAAGAUGCGGACUACCUGCACCAGGACAGAAAGACCCUAUGAAGCUUUACUGUAACCUGAAAUUGAAAUUGGACUUUACUUGCGCAGUAUAGGUGUAGGCGUUGAGAAUAUUCUUGCGGGAUUAUUGGAGCCAUCAGUGAGAUACCACUCUUGUAAUGUUAGAUUUCUAACUUUGUAUCAUUAUCUGGUCAAAGAACAGUUUCAGGCGGGCAGUUUGACUGGGGCGGUCGCCUCCUAAACGGUAACGGAGGCGCACAAAGGUUUCCUCUGAACGGGUAGAAAUCGUAUCUAGAGUGUAAAGGCAUAAGGAAGCUUGACUGUGAGACCUACAAGUCGAGCAGGGACGAAAGUCGGUCUUAGUGAUCUGACGGUGCUGAGUGGAAAGGCCGUCACUCAACGGAUAAAAGUUACUCUAAGGAUAACAGGCUGAUCUCCCCCAAGAGUUCACAUCGACGGGGAGGUUUGGCACCUCGAUGUCGGCUCAUCGCAUCCUGGGGCGGUAGUACGUCCCAAGGGUUGGGCUGUUCGCCCAUGAAAGCGGUACGCGAGCUGGGUUCAGAACGUCGUGAGACAGUUCGGUCCAUAUCCGGUGUAGGCGUUAGAAUAUUGAGAGGAGCCUUCUUUAGUACGAGAGGACCGAGAAGGACAUACCUCUGGUGUACCAGUUAUCGUGCCAACGGUAAACGCUGGGUAGCUAUGUGUGGAGUGGAUAACCGCUGAAAGCAUCUAAGUGGGAAGCCCACCUCAAGAUAAGUAUUCGC
rnacentral:rRNA from 1 species